UGGGCCUUCUAAACCCCAUUUUAAAAGUUUUAUAAUUUAUUUUAUAAACGACAAUGGAUGUGAUGCCCAAUGUAAUUUGUAACAUAGUAAAUUAGGAGGAUCUUCGAUCACCUGAUGCCGCGCUAGUUACAUAUAAAAGCAUUAUUUAAUACAAUGACAAAGCCUAGAAUCAAUUGUAAACGACUUUUGUAACAGGCAAGGUGUUGUAAGUGGUUGAGCAGCUGCCAUACUGCGAUCCACUGAAGCUUAUCCUUUGCUUGAUGAUUCGA
rnacentral:ncRNA from 1 species